AACGAACGCUGGCGGCAGGCCUAACACAUGCAAGUCGAGCGAACCCUUCGGGGUUAGCGGCGGACGGGUUAGUAACGCGUGGGAAUAUACCCUUUGGUACGGAAUAGCCUCGGGAAACUGAGAGUAAUACCGUAUGUGCCCUUCGGGGGAAAGAUUUAUCGCCAAAGGAUUAGCCCGCGUUGGAUUAGAUAGUUGGUGGGGUAAUGGCCUACCAAGUCUACGAUCCAUAGCUGGUUUGAGAGGAUGAUCAGCAACACUGGGACUGAGACACGGCCCAGACUCCUACGGGAGGCAGCAGUGGGGAAUCUUAGACAAUGGGCGCAAGCCUGAUCUAGCCAUGCCGCGUGGACGAUGAAGGCCUUAGGGUUGUAAAGUCCUUUCAGAUGGGAAGAUAAUGACGGUACCAUCAGAAGAAGCCCCGGNUAACUCCGUGCCAGCAGCCGGCGGUAAUGUGACUACUG
rnacentral:rRNA from 1 species